rnacentral:rRNA from 1 species
GUGAUUCGUCACACUAUCAUUAACUGAAUCCAUAGGUUAAUGAGGCGAACCGGGGGAACUGAAACAUCUAAGUACCCCGAGGAAAAGAAAUCAACCGAGAUUCCCCCAGUAGCGGCGAGCGAACGGGGAGGAGCCCAGAGCCUGAAUCAGCAUGUGUGUUAGUGGAAGCGUCUGGAAAGGCGCGCGAUACAGGGUGACAGCCCCGUACACAAAAGCGCAUGUGCUGUGAGCUCGAUGAGUAGGGCGGGACACGUGGUAUCCUGUCUGAAUAUGGGGGGACCAUCCUCCAAGGCUAAAUACUCCUGACUGACCGAUAGUGAACCAGUACCGUGAGGGAAAGGCGAAAAGAACCCCGGCGAGGGGAGUGAAAAAGAACCUGAAACCGUGUACGUACAAGCAGUGGGAGCACCCUUCGGGGUGUGACUGCGUACCUUUUGUAUAAUGGG